CCUACGGGUGGCAGCAGUGGGGAAUAUUGGGCAAUGGAGGAAACUCUGACCCAGCAACGCCGCGUGAAUGAUGAAGGUCUUCGGAUUGUAAAGUUCUUUUCUAAGGGAAGAAGAAAGUGACGGUACCUUAGGAAUAAGCCUCGGCUAACUACGUGCCAGCAGCCGCGGUAAUACGUAGGAGGCGAGCGUUAUCCGGAAUGACUGGGCGUAAAGGGUGCGUAGGUGGUUUGGCAAGUUAGUAGCGUAACUCCAAGGCUCAACCUUGGAACUACUACUAAAACUGUUGGACUUGAGUGCAGGAGAGGUAAGUGGAAUUCCUAGUGUAGCGGUGAAAUGCGUAGAUAUUAGGAGGAACACCAGUGGCGAAGGCGGCUUACUGGACUGUAACUGACGUUGAGGCUCGAAAGCGUGGGGAGCAAACAGGAUUAGAUACCCUUGUAGUC
rnacentral:rRNA from 1 species